UUUUUUUUUUUUUUUUUUUUUUUUUUUUUUUUUUUUUUUUUUUUUUUUUUUUUUUUUUUUUUUUUUUUUUUUUUUUUUUUUUUUUUUUUUUUUUUUUUUUUUUUUUUUUUUUUUUUUUUUUUUUUUUUUUUUUUUUUUUUUUUUUUUUUUUUUUUUUUUUUUUUUUUUUUUUUUUUUUUUUUUUUUUUUUUUUUUUUUUUUUUUUUUUUUUUUUUUUUUUUUUUUUUUUUUUUUUUUUUUUUUUUUUUUUUUUUUUUUUUUUUUUUUUUUUUUUUUUUUUUUUUUUUUUUUUUUUUUUUUUUUUUUUUUUUUUUUUUUUUUUUUUUUUUUUUUUUUUUUUUUUUUUUUUUUUUUUUUUUUUUUUUUUUUUUUUUUUUUUUUUUUUUUUUUUUUUUUUUUUUUUUUUUUUUUUUUUUUUUUUUAGCAGUGGUAAAGUUUUACUGUGAUUUUUUGAGCUCAGAGCUGAGAUUGCAAUUUUUCUGAACAAUAAGAACCACCU
rnacentral:lncRNA from 1 species